AAGUCGUAACAAGGUUUCCGUAGGUGAACCUGCGGAAGGAUCAUUAUCAAUUACUUGUGACUGCUUCUUUUUUUGAGAAGUGGUUGUAUGUUUUUGUGCACUGUUUUUUUCUUUUUGGUUAUUUUUCUUUCUGAGAGAAAUAAUCAAAGAUGAAAAUUUGAUUUUCUUAUUAUUAUUUUUCUUUUUAUUUACUUUUUACAAGUAAUUAAUUAAAAAAAAGACAACUUUCAGCAAUGGAUCUCUUGGCUCUU
rnacentral:misc_RNA from 1 species